rnacentral:rRNA from 1 species
CCUACGGGAGGCUGCAGUGGGGAAUAUUGGACAAUGGGCGAAAGCCUGAUCCAGCCAUGCCGCGUGUGUGAAGAAGGCCUUCGGGUUGUAAAGCACUUUCAGUGGGGAAGAAAGCCUUGGGGCUAAUACCCUCGAGGAAGGACAUCACCCACAGAAGAAGCACCGGCUAACUCCGUGCCAGCAGCCGCGGUAAUACGGAGGGUGCGAGCGUUAAUCGGAAUUACUGGGCGUAAAGCGCGCGUAGGCGGUCUGAUAAGCCGGUUGUGAAAGCCCCGGGCUCAACCUGGGAACGGCAUCCGGAACUGUCAGGCUAGAGUGCAGGAGAGGAAGGUAGAAUUCCCGGUGUAGCGGUGAAAUGCGUAGAGAUCGGGAGGAAUACCAGUGGCGAAGGCGGCCUUCUGGACUGACACUGACGCUGAGGUGCGAAAGCGUGGGUAGCAAACAGGAUUAGAUACCCAUGUAGUC